AUUGAACGCCGGCGGCAUGCCUAACACAUGCAAGUCGAACGGCAGCACAGUAAAGACUUCGGUCUUUAUGGGUGGCGAGUGGCGGACGGGUGAGUAACGCGUAGGAAUCUGUCCUGGAGAGUGGGAUAACCCGAGGAAACUCGGGCUAAUACCGCAUGAUAUCGAGAGAUCAAAAGCAGGGGACCCUUCGGGGCCUUGCGCUCUAGGUUGAGCCUACGUCGGAUUAGCUAGUUGGUGGGGUAAAGGCCUACCAAGGCGACGAUCCGUAGCUGGUCUGAGAGGAUGACCAGCCACACUGGGACUGAGACACGGCCCAGACUCCUACGGGAGGCAGCAGUGGGGAAUCUUGGACAAUGGGGAAACCCUGAUCCAGCGAUGCCGCGUGUGUGAAGAAGGCCUUCGGGUUGUAAAGCACUUUAGGUGGGGAAGAAAGGUAAUGAGUGAAUAACUGAUUGCUUUGACGGUACCCGCAGAAUAAGCACCGGCUAACUCUGUGCCAGCCGCCGCCGUAAAAC
rnacentral:rRNA from 1 species